rnacentral:rRNA from 9 species
CACCAGGUUGAUUCUGCCUGACGUAGACGCUAU